UGAAGAAACACCAACUUUAGAUGUGGCUGCUCGAACGAGCACGUCACAUACUUUAGUUAUUUCAGAAAAACCAGUUGAAGGGGAGGAAUCGUCGCCUCCUCAACAAAAUGUUAAUACAUCUACUCCUCCUUCGAGCCCCCGUGCCCCUUCACCAAAAAGGGCACGGGUUGAAAAGAUUGUUGAUCCUGCCCCUCAGUUGGGCAGUUCGUCGACUCUGCUCUUAGAUGAUCCAAUGAUCAAAGAGCUUCUUCGGAUCGGGUCCCAAUUUGUUGGGUACCGUGAAUAUGCCGCCAGAGCCGAAGAAAAACUUUCAGAGGCUAACGAACGCGCCGACGCACUGGCUCAAAAACUUGAGCAAAGUGAGGCGGCUCGCAAGAAAGCCGAACUCGCUGCUAGCAAAGCCAAGGUCGAAGCUGAUGAAGCUAAGGCGAAAGCUGCUGGUGUCGAGGAACUGCAGAAGAAACUUGAGAAUGCGACAGCUGCCUUGGAUGAGCACAAAGCUGCACAAGCUUC